GAUGAACGCUGGCGGCGUGCCUAAUACAUGCAAGUCGAGCGAACAGACGAGGAGCUUGCUCCUCUGACGUUAGCGGCGGACGGGCGAGUAACACGUGGAUCACCUACCUAUAAGACUGGGAUAACUUCGGGAAACCGGAGAUAAUACCGGAUAAUAUAUUGAACCGCAUGGAUCAAUAGUGAAUGACGGCUUUGCUGUCACUUAUAGAUGGAUCCGCGUCGCAUUAGCUAGUUGGUAAGGUAACGGCCUACCAAGGCAACGAUGCGUAGCCGACCUGAGAGGGUGAUCGGCCACACUGGAACUGAGACACGGUCCAGACUCCUACGGGAGGCAGCAGUAGGGAAUCUUCCGCAAUGGGCGAAAGCCUGACGGAGCAACGCCGCGUGAGUGAUGAAGGUCUUCGGAUCGUAAAACUCUUUUAUUAGGGAAGAACAAAUGUGUAAGUAACUAUGCACGUCUUGACGGUACCUAAUCAGAAAGCCCCGGCUAACUACGUG
rnacentral:rRNA from 1 species